rnacentral:rRNA from 1 species
GUCGCCUCCUAAAAGGUAACGGAGGCGCUCAAAGGUUCCCUCAGAAUGGUUGGAAAUCAUUCAUAGAGUGUAAAGGCAUAAGGGAGCUUGACUGCGAGACCUACAAGUCGAGCAGGGUCGAAAGACGGACUUAGUGAUCCGGUGGUUCCGCAUGGAAGGGCCAUCGCUCAACGGAUAAAAGCUACCCCGGGGAUAACAGGCUUAUCUCCCCCAAGAGUUCACAUCGACGGGGAGGUUUGGCACCUCGAUGUCGGCUCAUCGCAUCCUGGGGCUGUAGUCGGUCCCAAGGGUUGGGCUGUUCGCCCAUUAAAGCGGUACGCGAGCUGGGUUCAGAACGUCGUGAGACAGUUCGGUCCCUAUCCGUCGUGGGCGUAG